ensembl:lncRNA
UGAGGUUCCAUGUGUCCUUAAGGUGGUUCUAGAGAUCACUGAUGAGGUUCCACGUGUCCUUAAGGUGGUUUUAGAGAUCACUGAUGAGGUACAUGUCCUUAAGGUGGUUCUAGAGAUCACUGAUGAGGUUCCAUGUGUCCUUAGGGUGGUUUAGGUAAUUACGUUUUAAACAUAUUUUAGGUGGUUGUAGUUGUCCUUAGUGGAGCUUGAGGUGAUAGUAGCCUGAAGGAGGUUUCAGUGCCUACUUAGGAGGGACAAGGGUUCUAUAUGGUUCUAAUUACACAAUACAAUGUUCUUACAGGUAACUAUAAUACGGGUAGAUGAAAUCCAGCAUUCUGAUGGGUUGAGAGUGAGUCACGGGGUGUACAUUAUUCAGCGAUAAUGUACAGUAGCUGUUCACAUUGACCCGAGCGUUCCACAUCACUGCGCACUCAAAGAAGCAGGUUAGAUUUUGGGCGACAGUUUAGCUCGGUGGCGGUCGCCGAAAAAAGACCAGAAAUCCCGAGCGAGCUUUCACAACUGGACAAUUCAGGUGGACGUCAUAAGCGAUGUGAAUGAAUGAGAUGCUGUGAGAUGCUGUGAGCAAGGAGAACCCAAUGCUGUUUUUCUCUGGUGGUCGGUGGUUAGGAUCCUUUUUCACAACGGGGUAAGCUGAUCUCAGUUGGGUAUUUAGCAACAUGCAAAUUCCAUGUAACGUUGAAUGAGUAUCUGUUUUUUUCUAACUUUAUUGACAAUUUAGUAGAUCACAGCGACAAGUAGCGCAGCGUGAUGUGUGUCUUAAUGCGAGGCUUUAGAAAUGAACACAAAGGAUUCUGUAUUUGCUCAUGAAGUCUGCGUCUUCGUGUCGAAUGAGUUCAUGGUUAGUAGUCAGUGCGCCGGUCCUCUCUGUCCGCUGGCUUCGGUCACUUAUCAAAACACCGGCCAAAUGACCCGUUUCAGACUUUAUGAGCAAAUACAGAAUCCAGUUGUGUUCGUUUCUAAAGCCGCAUCAAGACACACAUGACUUUAUUUAAGAUGCUGAGCUUACUUUGCAAGUUGCUGUCAGACAAUCUGGUAGAUUGUCAAUAAAGUUAGAAAAAAACAUGUACGGCAAACCCACGGUCACGAAGAUACUCAUUUAACGUUACAUAGUAUUUGCAUGUCGCUAAAUACCCAACUGAGAUCGGCUCAUGCCGUUCUGAAAAAGGAACCGGCCACAGACCACUUUUCUCACUCGCCAUCACUCACGUUUGUGCUGAAAGGCAGCUAUUUACUUACUAUUUAUAAUUUUGCUGGUAACUGUGUUAUAAAAGCAAUAAGGUGCUUUAUCUUUAAUAAUAACAGUUUGAGGGUUGCCUGUCGUCCACUGCGCAUCAGGCCUAACAUCUGUACAGCCUCCCGUACCUUAUUGCUUAAAUAAAGCUCAGGUCUAAGAUGUGAGAUCAUUCUAAAGGGUUCCCCACAGUUCCUUCUGUUCCCAACCACUGGAAUUGUGGUUCUGAUGAAGGGCAUUGUGGUUCUGACGGUUCUGAUGAAGGGCAUUGUGGUUCUGACGGUUCUGAUGAAGGGCAUUGUGGUACUGAUGGUUCUGAUGAUGGCUCUUGAAGCUCUUAAGGGGAUCUUGGAUUGAUCUGUGGGAUCUCAUUGUAGACCUCAAGAUGCUCAGAACCCUCCAGGUGUGUGUCCCCGUCUGUCUGCAGAAUCAAACCCAGACUAAUAACUGACCGCGUGAUCAGCUGCCAUGUUUCAGAUCGAUGGAUAAAAUCCCACACGCGCACACUGGUCCUGUUCGGCUGUCUGCUUCGGGGAUAUGAACACGCUGAUCAGCUGACAGCAGCCGGAUCGAUAGUAAUCGUGAGAUCGGAGGCGAAACAUCUGGCAGACGCGUCAUCAUCAUGCAGCCAUACUGGGGCACGAGCCUCCAUCCACUGCAGCGACAUGUCGGUCAGUGUGCGCGCGUGCAGGACACCCUUUGGCAGCGCACGUACCCCCAUCCUCACUCGACACAUUUUUAUAUACACAUCUUUACACAAAAAAUAAGAUUAAACACGAGAAGAAGCCGCAGCCGUGCGAGGCUGCAGCUCGGUGCGCGCUCGUGUGGGCGCGUGCCCGUACAGCAGGUCGGUCGGUACACGGUGCAGAUGUGUGCUCGCACGCGCGCGGCGUGCAGCGGGACUCACCUCUGCUCAGGCUGCUUCUGUCCAUGUACAUCGCGCAGCAAAACACCAGUCCGCUCAUUAAAGAGAAGGUCGGUGCGGGGAGCGCGCGGCGCGCCCGGUCCACGCACACACGCACGCACACACACACACACACGCACACACACGCACGCACACACAAAACCUUCCGGACCGGGUCGCGGAAACCGACAGCCCACGGACGGGCUGCUGCUGCUGGACGGAAGAGGAGGAGGAUGUUAGAUCCGCUCGGUUUGGGGCAGAGGGCUGCCCGGUAAGCGAGAGACGGGCGGGCGGCCCCA